CAAGUACCGUGAGGGAAAGUUGCAAAGUACUUUGAAGAGAGAGUUCAAGAGGACGUGAAACCGAUAGGAUGGAAGCAGAUGAAGUUGACGAACGAGUGUCGUAUUCAGGGUUGCAUCUUGUGUGCAGUCUGUUCUUGCGGCCGAUGUGGGCCGGCGGCCUUGGUCAAUGCACUGUGUCAAGCGUCGAUGGUGACCCUGCGGAGGGAUAAUCAGUCGGCUGGCGAUGCGUGGUAUGGCUAAGGUUUCGCCGGUCUUGAAGUCAGCGCCUCAUCUGACCCGUCUUGAAACACGGACCAAGGAGUGUAGCGUUUACGCGAGUCUUAGAGUGUGUCAAAACUUUGAGGCGCAACGAAAGUGAAUGUAGUUUAAUCUACUGACUUGGGAUGCGUUGUCUCCUGUGGACGGCGCUGGACCAAGGUUAUAUCGAGAUCGCUUGCGAUUCGGUGUAAAUAGAGCGUAAGCGGUGCGACCCGAAAGAUGGUGAACUAUGCCUGAGCAGGAUGAAGCCGGAGGAAACUCUGGUGGAAGUCCGAAGCGGUUCUGACGUGCAAAUCGAUC
rnacentral:rRNA from 1 species